rnacentral:rRNA from 1 species
UACCCGCAGCACAAGUGGUGGUCAUUAUUAUUGGGCCUAAAGCGUCCGUAGCUGGCCUGUUAGAUGACCUGGGUAAAUCGAUGCGCUCAACGUAUCGAACUCCGGGUAGACCGGCAGGCUUGGGACCGGGAGAGAUGUGAGCUACUCGAGGGGUAGGGGUAAAAUCCUGUAAUCCUUCGGGGAGGACCAGUGGCGAAGGCGUCACAUUAGAACGGCUCCGACAGUGAGGGACGAAGCCCUGGGGCGCAAACCGG